ACGAGAAUUUAAUACAAACAAGUUGAUAUAAUCGAUGUUGGAACCUGGAACUUUUAUUUUGUGAGAAUGUUAGGUGGGAAAAAUAGCAGGGCUGUAGUCUUUUUAGUUUUUUAAGACGAUCUAACAGUAGUAAUAUUUUAUAAGAAUUAGGACAGAGAAAUUCAGUCUAUUGAAAUGAUUUUCUUAUAUACAUUUUAUUGCGAAAAAUAGGAUCAAGACAUUAUUCAUAAUGAAAUAAUAGAGAUUCCAAGUUUAAUUCUGUAAAGUAAAUAUAUCAGCUAUGAUAAUUUGGCAGUUAUCCCACCUUAAGUAGUGAUGCUCAUCGGCAAAGAUUGAAAUAAUAUGAAACGGCUAUAUGUAAACAAUAUUAAAGAACCCGAAAAUUAACGUUGCCAACCUGACAAUUCAAAGAUUCUUUGGGAGGAGAGCAGUUCAGCUAUCAUGACGUUUGAUUAAAUUAGCUCAGAGCAGGUGUGAUGAGGGGGGAAGUUUAAAGGUCAAGGUAGGAGGAGAAGGAGAUAGGCAAGUAGCUAUGAGAUUAGGGAAAUAUACACAAAUCCCACACAGUAUCUAGGAAGAAAAUACUACGAUAUCGAUCCUCAAUUCUACUCCGAGUACAACAGGGACUUACACUUAUAACCAGAGAUGGAAAUCAUGGUAUCCACCGGUAUGCUAAAUAAACGAAAAUUAACGUGGUAACCUUGACAAUUUGAAGAAUGUUUUGAAAAGAGCAGUCUCGCUAUCAUUCCUACUAUAAGAUCGGUUGUGAGGAGGUCUGAGAGGGUUGGAAAUUUUCAUCAACGUUGAAUGACUUACCAAACGUUCAAAUAUGAGGAAAAUAAUCUAGUCCUGGAUCAUUUGUGUCCUAAAAUGGUAAUACUCUCAAUUUAAACAUAGUAAGAGUAGACGAUAUGGAUCUUUAAUAUAUUAUUAUCGGAAUAUUAAAAUGCCAUAUCCUCUAAAUAUUGAAAUCAUAUUUGAUAUUAGUUUCUUAAGUACAAGAUUGUUAUUGCCAAGAAUUGGAUUCAAUAUUAUGUAGGACGUCAUAGAAAAAAUACAUAGUCAUCAUCAAGACCCCCAAAAAAAACUUAAAUUGUUUAAAUGUGUAAUUGUGAAGGAUAUUACCGAAAUUUGAUUUAAAAUUUAAUAAAAAUGAUGUGCAAUUUAAAAAUAAAACUUAUGUUAAUUUUAUAGCUUGUAGUCUUCCUUAAUGUAAGAUAAAAUAAAAUAUAAUGCGAUUAUUAUAGGUAGUUCAA
rnacentral:lncRNA from 1 species